rnacentral:tRNA from 2 species
GAGAAAGAUGCAAGAACUGCUAAUUCAUGCACCCGUGCAUAAAAACAUGGCUUUCUUA